AGAGAGAUGAGGUCAGAGUUGAUGUGGGACCAGCGCUUCCUGAGGAGCCGGUCUUUCCUGUUCUGUCUGAAACAACAAAAACAUCAUCAUCAUCAUCAUCAUGAUGCUGGAAGAAGAUAAAUGCGAUGGUUGCCACGACGACCACUGUCACAGCCAGGACGCCCACGAUGAUGUCUUGGAUCGGAGGGCCAGUCAGCAAGUCUAGUUUACCAUUCUUUGGCUUGUAGUCGGGAAGCUUCUUCCCCCAGAUGAAGGCCGGAGAUUCGUCCUCCAUCGUUGUUUUGGCGUUUUCAGUGUCAAAGCACUGAGUCGUGAUACGCAGCCAUGUAGUCGUUCAUCUGCAGGGAGGAACAGAAAUGAUGAUGAUGAUGAAGAUGAAGAGGACAGGAAGCGAUUCAGACUCACCAGCAAGAGCUUAAGAAAGGUCAGCGCUGAUGUUAUACCCCCUGGAGUUGGGCAUGGUCAGCACCAGAACGUUCCUCAUCUCCGGCCGCGACAGGCUCUUGUAGUAAAUAUCACUGAGUUAAGUAGGA